rnacentral:pre_miRNA from 1 species
CAUGCACCAGUGGGGUCCCUCGGCCUGGUCUGUGUCCUCUCACAAUCCAGGACCCCUUGGAUGUCGAAGAGCCGGUUUUGGCCUGAUCCCUGCAGGCCAGGCCGAGGGACCCCACUGGUGCACG